ACGAUGACGUUGAUAGGCCGGGUGUGUAAGCGCAGCGAUGCGUUGAGCUAACCGGUACUAAUGAACCGUGAGGCUUAACCUUAC
rnacentral:rRNA from 2 species